GCUCUUCUGUAUAUCAAAGAGAAAGGUGACGGUUGAGCUGGGUUUUGAAGAAUCAGCAAGUUUGGGAGUAAAAGAGAAGGAUUAAUGAUAGCUUGAAUGAAAAAAGAAGAUAAAAUGAAGGCUGUUUGAUGAUGAUUUUAGAUUGUGGGAUGGUGGGAGCCAACAGAAGGCAAAGAUUAGAGGUCGAAAGAUGAGAGUAGUUGGGAGAGCAGUGUCCAACAAGACUCACGAGAGAGUGAAAUUAGGAGUCCUGGUGGAAGGAGAGCUUGUGGGGUUACGAAUUAUCUUCUGAGACUGGAAGGGGAAAGAGAGAGUAUUUUAUUCUGAAAAACUCCUUGGGAUAACUAGUUUCUUUAUGCCUACUUUUUAAGAACAAUGCUUGAAGGAAAUCUUUUUGUUUUCGAGGCAAUAU
rnacentral:lncRNA from 1 species